AGCAGUGGGGAAUUUUGGACAAUGGGCGCAAGCCUGAUCCAGCAAUGCCGCGUGAGUGAAGAAGGCCUUCGGGUUGUAAAGCUCUUUUGUCAGGGAAGAAACGGUGAGGGCUAAUAUCUCUUGCUAAUGACGGUACCUGAAGAAUAAGCACCGGCUAACUACGUGCCAGCAGCCGCGGUAAUACGUAGGGUGCAAGCGUUAAUCGGAAUUACUGGGCGUAAAGCGUGCGCAGGCGGUUUUAUAAGUUUGUCGUGAAAGCCCCGGGCUCAACCUGGGAAUUGCGAUGAAGACUGCAAGGCUUGAAUCUGGCAGAGGGGGGUAGAAUUCCACGUGUAGCAGUGAAAUGCGUAGAGAUGUGGAGGAACACCGAUGGCGAAGGCAGCCCCCUGGGUCAAGAUUGACGCUCAUG
rnacentral:rRNA from 1 species